AAUGGCGCAGUAUCCAGACUCAUAUUCUGAUUAGAAUCUGAGAUAUGACGACGUCAGGCUAUAUAAUUGGGAACCAGUGCAAU